rnacentral:rRNA from 1 species
UACGGAGGAUCCAAGCGUUAUCCGGAAUCAUUGGGUUUAAAGGGUCCGUAGGCGGCCUUAUAAGUCAGUGGUGAAAUCUCUCCGCUCAACGGGGAAACUGCCAUUGAUACUGUAAGGCUUGAAUUAUUGUGAAGUAACUAGAAUAUGUAGUGUAGCGGUGAAAUGCUUAGAGAUUACAUGGAAUACCGAUUGCGAAGGCAGGUUACUAACAAUUGAUUGACGCUGAUGGACGAAAGCGUGGGGAGCGAACAGG